CUACGGAGGGUGCAAGCGUUAAUCGGAAUUACUGGGCGUAAAGCGUACGUAGGCGGCUCGUUAAGUUAGAUGUGAAAGCCCCGGGCUUAACCUGGGAACUGCAUUUAAAACUGGCGAACUAGAGUUGAGUAGAGGGGAGUGGAAUUUCAGGUGUAGCGGUGAAAUGCGUAGAGAUCUGAAGGAACACCAGUGGCGAAGGCGACUCCCUGGACUCGAACUGACGCUGAGGUACGAAAGCGUGGGUAGCAAACGGGAUUAGAAACCCCGGUAGUCC
rnacentral:rRNA from 1 species